CCUGUGAGGGUUGCUGGAGGUAUCAGAAGUGCGAAUGCUGACAUAAGUAACGAUAAAGCGGGUGAAAAGCCCGCUCGCCGGAAGACCAAGGGUUCCUGUCCAACGUUAAUCGGGGCAGGGUGAGUCGACCCCUAAGGCGAGGCCGAAAGGCGUAGUCGAUGGGAAACAGGUUAAUAUUCCUGUACUUGGUGUUACUGCGAAGGGGGGACGGAGAAGGCUAUGUUGGCCGGGCGACGGUUGUCCCGGUUUAAGCGUGUAGGCUGGUUUUCCAGGCAAAUCCGGAAAAUCAAGGCUGAGGCGUGAUGACGAGGCACUACGGUGCUGAAGCGACAAAUGCCCUGCUUCCAGGAAAAGCCUCUAAGCAUCAGGUAACAUCAAAUCGUACCCCAAACCGACACAGGUGGUCAGGUAGAGAAUACCAAGGCGCUUGAGAGAACUCGGGUGAAGGAACUAGGCAAAAUGGUGCCGUAACUUCGGGAGAAGGCACGCUGAUAUGUAGGUGAAGCGACUUGCUCGUGGAGCUGAAAUCAGUCGAAGAUACCAGCUGGCUGCAACUGUUUAUUAAAAACACAGCACUGUGCAAACACGAAAGUGGACGUAUACGGUGUGACGCCUGCCCGGUGCCGGAAGGUUAAUUGAUGGGGUUAGCGGUAACGCGAAGCUCUUGAUCGAAGCCCCGGUAAACGGCGGCCGUAACUAUAACGGUCCUAAGGUAGCGAAAUUCCUUGUCGGGUAAGUUCCGACCUGCACGAAUGGCGUAAUGAUGGCCAGGCUGUCUCCACCCGAGACUCAGUGAAAUUGAACUCGCUGUGAAGAUGCAGUGUACCCGCGGCAAGACGGAAAGACCCCGUGAACCUUUACUAUAGCUUGACACUGAACAUUGAGCCUUGAUGUGUAGGAUAGGUGGGAGGCUUUGAAGUGUGGACGCCAGUCUGCAUGGAGCCGACCUUGAAAUACCACCCUUUAAUGUUUGAUGUUCUAACGUGGGCCCCUUACCGGGGUUGCGGACAGUGUCUGGUGGGUAGUUUGACUGGGGCGGUCUCCUCCUAAAGAGUAACGGAGGAGCACGAAGGUUGGCUAAUCCUGGUCGGACAUCAGGAGGUUAGUGCAAUGGCAUAAGCCAGCUUGACUGCGAGCGUGACGGCGCGAGCAGGUGCGAAAGCAGGUCAUAGUGAUCCGGUGGUUCUGAAUGGAAGGGCCAUCGCUCAACGGAUAAAAGGUACUCCGGGGAUAACAGGCUGAUACCGCCCAAGAGUUCAUAUCGACGGCGGUGUUUGGCACCUCGAUGUCGGCUCAUCACAUCCUGGGGCUGAAGUAGGUCCCAAGGGUAUGGCUGUUCGCCAUUUAAAGUGGUACGCGAGCUGGGUUUAGAACGUCGUGAGACAGUUCGGUCCCUAUCUGCCGUGGGCGCUGGAGAACUGAGGGGGGCUGCUCCUAGUACGAGAGGACCGGAGUGGACGCAUCACUGGUGUUCGGGUUGUCAUGCCAAUGGCACUGCCCGGUAGCUAAAUGCGGAAGAGAUAAGUGCUGAAAGCAUCUAAGCACGAAACUUGCCCCGAGAUGAGUUCUCCCUGACUCCUUGAGAGUCCUGAAGGAACGUUGAAGACGACGACGUUGAUAGGCCGGGUGUGUAAGCGCAGCGAUGCGUUGAGCUAACCGGUACUAAUGAACCGUGAGGCUUAACCUUACAACGCCGAAG
rnacentral:rRNA from 2 species